rnacentral:tRNA from 1 species
UGCCCAGUAACUCAGUUGGUAGAGUGGAGGACUGUUAAUCCUUUUGCCACAGGUUCGAGUCCUGUCUGGGCAG